rnacentral:lncRNA from 1 species
UAGAAAUUAUACUAGUUAUAAACUGAACUAUCCUAAAAUGAAUUACAAAAUAGUUUUUAUCCAAAAUAUUUAAAAUUAUCUGAAUUACCAUAACAAAUCAAAAUUUUCAAAUAUUUCUGGAAUAUUUAGACUUAUUUAAAUUACCGAUAUUUUUAACUGAAAAUCAGACAUUUGCCAAAUUUUCUGAACUUAUCUGUAAAACUGAAACCGAACCAGAACCGAAUUACACCAAAAUUUAUUGGAUAUUAGUUGGUUCCUAAUAUUUUUUUCCAAACUGAAACAAAACCCAAAGCAACUGAACCGAAACGUAACCAAAUUUCAUAAAUAACCAUGUUUUAAAAACC